rnacentral:rRNA from 1 species
AACGAACGCUGGAGGCGUGCCUAAUAACUGCAAGUCGACCGAGAGCGACCGGUGCUUGCACUGGUCAAUCUGGUGGCGAACGGGUGAGUAACACGAGGGUAACCUGCCCAUCAGAGGGGGAUACUAUUAGGAAACGGAUGCUAAAACCGCAUCGGUGUUCGACCCGCAUGGGUUGAAGAGGUAAAGCGGCGCCAGCUUCUGCUCAUGGAUGGACCCGCGGUGCAUUAGCUAGUUGGUGAGGUAACGGCUCACCAAGGCCGUGAUGCAAAGCCGACCUGAGAGGGUGAUCGGCCAUAUUGGGACUGAGACACGGCCCAGACUCCUACGGGAGGCAGCAGUAGGGAAUCUUCCGCAAUGGACGCAAGUCUGACGGAGCAACGCCGCGUGAGUGAAGAAGGUUUUCGGAUCGUAAAACUCUGUUGUUAGAGAAGAAUAAGUGCUAGAGUAACUGUUAGCGCCUUGGCGGUAGCUAACCAGAAAGCCACGGCUAACUACGUG